UGGGUUGUGGCUUAGUGGUAGAGCACUCGCCUAGCAUGUGUGAGGCACUGGGUUCAAUCCUCAGCACCACAU
rnacentral:tRNA from 1 species